rnacentral:rRNA from 1 species
AUACGGAGGGUCCAAGCGUUAUCCGGAAUCAUUGGGUUUAAAGGGUCCGCAGGCGGUCAAUUAAGUCAGAGGUGAAAGCCCGUCGCUCAACGAUGGAACUGCCUUUGAUACUGGUUGACUUGAGUUAUACGGAAGUAGAUAGAAUAAGUAGUGUAGCGGUGAAAUGCAUAGAUAUUACUUAGAAUACCGAUUGCGAAGGCAGUCUACUACGUAUAUACUGACGCUGAGGGACGAAAGCGUGGGGAGCGAACAGGAUUAGAAACCCGUGUAGUCC